AGCGAACGCUGGCGGCAGGCCUAACACAUGCAAGUCGAACGAACCUUUCGGGGUUAGUGGCGGACGGGUGAGUAACACGUGGGAACGUGCCUUUAGGUUCGGAAUAACUCAGGGAAACUUGUGCUAAUACCGAAUGUGCCCUUCGGGGGAAAGAUUUAUCGCCUUUAGAGCGGCCCGCGUCUGAUUAGCUAGUUGGUUGAGGUAAUGGCUCACCAAGGCGACGAUCAGUAGCUGGUCUGAGAGGAUGAUCAGCCACAUUGGGACUGAGACACGGCCCAUACUCCUACGGGAGGCAGCAGUGGGGAAUCUUGCGCAAUGGGCGAAAGCCUGACGCAGCCAUGCCGCGUGAAUGAUGAAGGUCUUAGGAUUGUAAAAUUCUUUCACCGGGGACGAUAAUGACGGUACCCGGAGAAGAAGCCCCGGCUAACUUCGUG
rnacentral:rRNA from 1 species